rnacentral:rRNA from 1 species
UACGUAGGGUGCAAGCGUUGUCCGGAAUUAUUGGGCGUAAAGAGCUCGUAGGCGGUCUGUCGCGUCUGCUGUGAAAACUCAGGGCUUAACCCUGAGCUUGCAGUGGGUACGGGCAGACUAGAGUGCGGUAGGGGAGACUGGAAUUCCUGGUGUAGCGGUGAAAUGCGCAGAUAUCAGGAGGAACACCAAUGGCGAAGGCAGAUCUCUGGGCCGUAACUGACGCUGAGGAGCGAAAGCAUGGGGGAGCGAACAGG